GGAACACUGAGGCCAGCAGUUUAAGGAUUUUCACAUUUCCUUGCAGUGAAUGCAGAGCCUUGGAUCUCUUGGCCACAGAUUGACAGCCUGGAAUCCUGAGGAAGACUCCUAACGGUUUUUGGCCAUACAAACCAACCUUCUCCAAGAAAUUGCUGCAGCCCCCGCAGCCUUCAGCAAC